GCCGAGAACAUCACGUUCACGCUGAAUCCCACCAUCAUGGCCAGCGGCUGUCGAGUGUCUGGCCAGUCCAUUUCUCUGAGCUUCACCAGCCUUCUUGAUGAUGGACUCAACUAUUGUAACCUCUACAAUCUGCUCUCAUCAAGCGGCCUCACGUCAUCUCCAGGCUUCAUAGAAAUGACAAAUGAGUGGGCCUGCCUCGGGUAUGGACUCGCCACCUGCAAAG